GCUCAGCCCCAUUUCUUCUUUGCGCUCUCUCUCAAAAUAUAUUUUAUUACAUUAUAAUAAUAAUAAAGCCUGCUUCGUUUUAAGUAUUGUAACUCCCGAUCACCGCUAUGCUUUCCGAUUGAUCUGAGUCCCAUAACGCAUGUCAAGGCUCUGCCCGACUAAGUUCGUUUGGAUUCUAUCUCGGGACUUCGGGACAAGGUUGAAUUAGGGGUACUAUACUUACCACGAGUGCAUUAUAUAUUUUUAUAUAGCUCAGAAGUUAUACCCAAAAUUUAUACCAGGAGGUUUUCUAGUUGAACCCUAAAGUUACAAAGUGGGUCCAUUCUCUUUUCUCACCGUUUUAUUUCCUUUUUGUGAUUUACCCAAAACUAUUAUUUUUGUAAACAAAUCUCGUCAAAAGUUAUCUCUAUUAUUUUAUUUACCUAAUAGGAAACCUUAGUUGAGACACCCAAGUAAUUCUACACAAUCCCUAAAAUUUUCAGAAUAAACAGAAUCAGGAUCAGGGCCCCUAAAACUCAAAGGGGAUAAACCCUAAUCAAUAUUUAUCUUCUAAAUUCGUUGUUGAAAUUGAAUUUGAUCGUACAAUCAACUCAUCAAACCUAUACCACCGACUAGGCUACCCUAUAAUUAGACCACACCCCUUACGGACCAUAAGGGUUACGGCUUACGGUCCGUAAGCGAGGCUAUUUUCCGGGUAUAAAUAGAGGACCUUGGGACUUGCCUGAAGAAGUUGAAACGACGCACAAAUUCACUGUGAACGUCGUAUUAGAGCAGUAGUAGCACAAUUAAACACACGGGUCACGAAGUGCUGCCACAAAACAAGGUAAUAACUCGAUCGCUAUUACGAUUCAUUUUCCGACCGAUCAAUAUAUCCAAUGGAUGUUUAAGUGCCACCCACAUUAGGGUUAUACUUGUCGUUCGUCAUUAAAUCGAUGGAUGUUUAAGUAUCGCACUUUGUCGUUCGUUGUGAGAAUUUGAUCUCGUGAGUUAUCGUAAUUGUUGUAUUAAGUUACCUACCUAGUUCGUGUGCACUAGGUUACAAGGGUAAAUCAAUAGGCUAAGCUCUGGCUGUAUAAAUCUACAAUAUAUCAAACUUUGGCCGUAUGAAUCUGCAUGAUUAUAAUGUAAUUACAGUAGAUUGGAGUAAGGAUUGGAUCCGGCACUAAAAGACUUCAAGAAGUGGCUUAUUUUAUUAAUUAAAUCAAAUUAAGAAAUAUUGUUUUUAUUAAAAGCUACAUUUGUAGAAAUGGAAUUUAUUCCAUCUAUUUAAAUAAAAUCCGGUGU
rnacentral:lncRNA from 1 species